GACGAACGCUGGCGGCGUGCUUAACACAUGCAAGUCGAACGGAAAGGCCCUGCUUUUGUGGGGUGCUCGAGUGGCGAACGGGUGAGUAACACGUGAGUAACCUGCCCUUGACUGUGGGAUAACUUCAGGAAACUGGGGCUAAUACCGGAUAGGAGCUCCUGCUGCAUGGUGGGGGUUGGAAAGUUUCGGCGGUUGGGGAUGGACUCGCGGCUUAUCAGCUUGUGGGUGGGGUAGUGGCUUACCAAGGCUUUGACGGGUAGCCGGCCUGAGAGGGUGACCGGCCACGUUGCGACUGAGAUACGGCCCGGACUCCUCCGGGAGGCAGCGGUGGGGAAUGUUGCACAAUGGGCGGAAGCCUGAUGCAGCAACGCCGCGUGCGGGAUGACGGCCUUCGGGUUGUAAACCACUUUCGCCUGUGACGAAGCGUGAGUGACGGUAAUGGGUAAAGAAGCACCGGCUAACUACGUG
rnacentral:rRNA from 1 species